UGGGCGUUAAGUUGCAGGGUAUAGACCCGAAACCCGGUGAUCUAGCCAUGGGCAGGUUGAAGGUUGGGUAACACUAACUGGAGGACCGAACCGACUAAUGUUGAAAAAUUAGCGGAUGACCUGUGGCUGGGGGUGAAAGGCCAAUCAAACCGGGAGAUAGCUGGUUCUCCCCGAAAGCUAUUUAGGUAGCGCCUCGUGAAUUCAUCUCCGGGGGUAGAGCACUGUUUCGGCUAGGGGGCCAUCCCGGCUUACCAACCCGAUGCAAACUGCGAAUACCGGAGAAUGUUAUCACGGGAGACACACGGCGGGUGCUAACGUCCGUCGUGAAGAGGGAAACAACCCAGACCGCCAGCUAAGGUCCCAAAGUCAUGGUUAAGUGGGAAACGAUGUGGGAAGGCCCAGACAGCCAGGAUGUUGGCUUAGAAGCAGCCAUCAUUUAAAGAAAGCGUAAUAGCUCACUGGUCGAGUCGGCCUGCGCGGAAGAUGUAACGGGGCUAAACCAUGCACCGAAGCUGCGGCAGCGACGCUGAUGCGUUGUUGGGUAGGGGAGCGUUCUGUAAGCCUGCGAAGGUGGCCUGUGAGGGUUGCUGGAGGUAUCAGAAGUGCGAAUGCUGACAUAAGUAACGAUAAAGCGGGUGAAAAGCCCGCUCGCCGGAAGACCAAGGGUUCCUGUCCAACGUUAAUCGGGGCAGGGUGAGUCGACCCCUAAGGCGAGGCCGAAAGGCGUAGUCGAUGGGAAACGGGUUAAUAUUCCCGUACUUGGUGUUACUGCGAAGGGGGGACGGAGAAGGCUAUGUUGGCCGGGCGACGGUUGUCCCGGUUUAAGCGUGUAGGUGUGUGUUCCAGGUAAAUCCGGUUCACUUUAACACUGAGGCGUGAUGACGAGGCACUACGGUGCUGAAGCAACAAAUGCCCUGCUUCCAGGAAAAGCCUCUAAGCAUCAGGUAACAUCAAAUCGUACCCCAAACCGACACAGGUGGUCAGGUAGAGAAUACCAAGGCGCUUGAGAGAACUCGGGUGAAGGAACUAGGCAAAAUGGUGCCGUAACUUCGGGAGAAGGCACGCUGACACGUAGGUGAAGUGAUUUACUCAUGGAGCUGAAGUCAGUCGAAGAUACCAGCUGGCUGCAACUGUUUAUUAAAAACACAGCACUGUGCAAACACGAAAGUGGACGUAUACGGUGUGACGCCUGCCCGGUGCCGGAAGGUUAAUUGAUGGGGUCAGCGCAAGCGAAGCUCCUGAUCGAAGCCCCGGUAAACGGCGGCCGUAACUAUAACGGUCCUAAGGUAGCGAAAUUCCUUGUCGGGUAAGUUCCGACCUGCACGAAUGGCGUAAUGAUGGCCAGGCUGUCUCCACCCGAGACUCAGUGAAAUUGAACUCGCUGUGAAGAUGCAGUGUACCCGCGGCAAGACGGAAAGACCCCGUGAACCUUUACUAUAGCUUGACACUGAACAUUGAGCCUUGAUGUGUAGGAUAGGUGGGAGGCUUUGAAGUGUGGACGCCAGUCUGCAUGGAGCCGACCUUGAAAUACCACCCUUUAAUGUUUGAUGUUCUAACGUGGACCCGUGAUCCGGGUUGCGGACAGUGUCUGGUGGGUAGUUUGACUGGGGCGGUCUCCUCCUAAAGAGUAACGGAGGAGCACGAAGGUUGGCUAAUCCUGGUCGGACAUCAGGAGGUUAGUGCAAUGGCAUAAGCCAGCUUGACUGCGAGCGUGACGGCGCGAGCAGGUGCGAAAGCAGGUCAUAGUGAUCCGGUGGUUCUGAAUGGAAGGGCCAUCGCUCAACGGAUAAAAGGUACUCCGGGGAUAACAGGCUGAUACCGCCCAAGAGUUCAUAUCGACGGCGGUGUUUGGCACCUCGAUGUCGGCUCAUCACAUCCUGGGGCUGAAGUAGGUCCCAAGGGUAUGGCUGUUCGCCAUUUAAAGUGGUACGCGAGCUGGGUUUAGAACGUCGUGAGACAGUUCGGUCCCUAUCUGCCGUGGGCGCUGGAGAACUGAGGGGGGCUGCUCCUAGUACGAGAGGACCGGAGUGGACGCAUCACUGGUGUUCGGGUUGUCAUGCCAAUGGCACUGCCCGGUAGCUAAAUGCGGAAGAGAUAAGUGCUGAAAGCAUCUAAGCACGAAACUUGCCCCGA
rnacentral:rRNA from 1 species